UACGUAGCAGCGAGCGUUGUUCGGAAUUACUGGGCGUAAAGCGUGCGUAGGCGGUGCCUCAAGUUUUGGUGUGAAAUCUCCCGCUCAACCGGGAGGGUGCGCCGAAAACUGAGGUGCUCGAGUGUGGGAGAGGGUAAGCGGAAUUCCUGGUGUAGCGGUGAAAUGCGUAGAUAUCAGGAGGAACACCGGCGGUGUAGACGGCUUACUGGACCAUAACUGACGUGAGGCACGAAAAGUGUGGGGAGCAAACAGG
rnacentral:rRNA from 1 species